rnacentral:rRNA from 1 species
GACGAACGCUGGCGGCGUGCCUAAUACAUGCAAGUCGAACGAAGCUUUUUAACUGGUGCUUGCACCGACUUAAACAACUGAGUGGCGAACGGGUGAGUAACACGUGGGUAACCUGCCCCAAAGCGGGGGAUAACAUUUGGAAACAGAUGCUAAUACCGCAUAACCACAGAAACCACAUGGUUUCUGUGUCAAAGAUGGUUUCGGCUAUCACUUUGGGAUGGACCCGCGGCGUAUUAGCUAGUUGGUAAGGUAAUGGCUUACCAAGGCAAUGAUACGUGGAGGAGCUGAGAGGUUGAUCGGCCACAUUGGGACUGAGAGACGGCCCAAACUCCUACGGGAGGCAGCAGUAGGGAAUCUUCCACAAUGGACGAAAGUCUGAUGGAGCAACGCCGCGUGAGUGAAGAAGGUUUUCGGAUCGUAAAACUCUGUUGUCAGAGAAGAACGUGUGCGAGAGUAACUGUUCGUGCAGUGACGGUAUCUGGCCAGAAAGCCACGGCUAACUACGUGCCAGCAGCCGCCGCCG